rnacentral:rRNA from 1 species
ACGUAGGGUGCAGGCGUUAAUCGGAAUUACUGGGCGUAAAGGGUGCGCAGGCGGUUUGUUAAGACAGGUGUGAAAUCCCCGGGCUUAACCUGGGAAUUGCGCUUGUAACUGGCAGGCUAGAGUGUGGCAGAGGGGGGUGGAAUUCCACGUGUAGCAGUGAAAUGCGUAGAUAUGUGGAGGAACACCGAUGGCGAAGGCAGCCCCCUGGGUUAACACUGACGCUCAUGCACGAAAGCGUGGGGAGCAAACAGGAUUAGAUACCCUGGUAGUCCACGCCCUAAACGAUGUCAACUAGUUGUCGGGGAAGCAAUUCCUUGGUAACGAAGCUAACGCGUGAAGUUGACCGCCUGGGGAGUACGGCCGCAAGGUUA